rnacentral:rRNA from 1 species
GACGUAGGGAGCGAGCGUUGUCCGGAUUCAUUGGGCGUAAAGAGCGCGCAGGCGGUCGACCAAGUCGCGUGUGAAAGCCCCCGGCUCAACUGGGGAGGGUCACGCGAUACUGAUCGACUCGAAGGCAGGAGAGGGUAGUGGAAUUCCCGGUGUAGUGGUGAAAUGCGUAGAUAUCGGGAGGAACACCAGUGGCGAAGGCGACUACCUGGCCUGUUCUUGACGCUGAGGCGCGAAAGCUAGGGGAGCAAACGGG